rnacentral:lncRNA from 1 species
UGUGUUUCUUUAAUAACUAGUCAUAUCUUAUAAAUUAUAACUAGUUAGAUACUUUAAAUUAUAUUCAGUUAUAUCUUAUUAAUUACAACCAGUUAUACUAUUUAAGUUAUAAUCAAUUAUUUUAAGAAGAAGCAUUAGAAAUAUGCUAUUAGAAAAAUCACUCGUAAGAAAAAUUGUUUUACAAUGAAAUUUAAAAUUUCUAAAGUACCCCUACAUUCGGAAACCUGAAAAUCCAAAAAUAAAAUAAAAAAAAAAUUAGUUAACAAUUUCCAACGUUUGGACCCGACACCCGAUCUAGCAUAUAUUUUUCAUAAAACAUUCUUUGCCCAGAUUU